UACGUAGGGUGCAAGCGUUGUUCGGAUUUAUUGGGCGUAAAGGGCGCGUAGGCGGAUAGUUAAGUUGGGUGUUUAACCCACAGGCUCAACCUGUGGUCUGCAUUCAAUACUGAUUAUCUUGAGUAUCGGAGGGGAAAGUGGAAUUCUUGGUGUAGCGGUGGAAUGCGUAGAUAUCAAGAGGAACACCAGUGGCGAAGGCGACUUUCUGGCUGAAUACUGACGCUAAAGCGCGAAAGCGUGGGGAGCAAACAGG
rnacentral:rRNA from 1 species